AGGAUAUCCAGGAGGUGGCAUGGGGGGAGGUUACCCAGGUGGCAUGGGAGGAGGAAUGGGACCAGGAGGAUAUCCAGGAGGUGACAUGGGGG